UGGGAGGUAAAUUUCUCCUAAGGCUAAAUAUCGGCGAGAGACCGAUAGCGAACAAGUACCGUGAGGGAAAGAUGAAAAGAACUUUGAAAAGAGAGUAAAAUAGUACGUGAAAUUGUUGAAAGGGAAACGAUUGAAGUCAGUCGUACCGACGAGAAAUCAACUUAUCGCGUGCGAACUUGCGGGCGUGCGUGAGUUUCGGCCUCGCUGUUUGUAUGUUCGUGCGUUUUCGGUGUACUUUUUCGUAUGGUAGGCCAACAUCAGUUUCGAUUACUAUAAAAUGACCGGCGGAAUGUAGCUUCGAUUUCGGUUGAAGUGUUAUAGCCUCUGGUAGAUUGUGGUGAUUGGGACUGAGGAUUGCAACGAAUAUCCUUUGGGCUAUCCGUCUGAUCUCUGAAAGUUGCUCAGGUGCCGAAAGCGUGCUUACGGUCAUCUAAGUUGACGGUCAAUAGGUUAGAACGUGAUUACAUUCGUUAAGGAUGUUGGCGUAAUGGCUUUAAACGACCCGUCUUGAAACACGGACCAAGGAGUCUAACAUAUAUGCGAGUGUUCGGGUGUUUAAACCCCUACGCGUAAUGAAAGUAAUUUUGGUGGGAUCACUUUUGUGUGCACCAUCGACC
rnacentral:rRNA from 1 species